CGUGUAGGCGGUGCGGUAAGUUGGGCGUGAAAUCCCCGAGCUUAACUCGGGUGGGCCGUUCAAGACUGCCGUGCUAGGGUGCGGGAGAGGGAAGUGGAAUUUCCGGUGUAGCGGUGAAAUGCGUAGAUAUCGGGAGGAACACCUGCGGCGAAGGCGGCUUCCUGGACCGUAACCGACGCUGAGGCGCGAAAGCUAGGGGAGCAAACAGGAUUAGAUACCCUGGUAGUCCUAGCCCUAAACGAUGAGCACUGGGUGUGGCCCCUCACGAGGCCGUGCCGAAGCUAACGCAUUAAAUGCUCCGCCUGGGGAGUACGGUCGCGAAGGCUGAA
rnacentral:rRNA from 1 species